GAUGAACGCUGGCGGCGUGCCUAAUACAUGCAAGUCGAGCGAACGGACGAGAAGCUUGCUUCUCUGAUGUUAGCGGCGGACGGGUGAGUAACACGUGGAUAACCUACCUAUAAGACUGGGAUAACUUCGGGAAACCGGAGCUAAUACCGGAUAAUUUUUUGAACCGCAUGGUUCAAAAGUGAAAGACGGUCCUGCCGUCUCUUAUAGAUGGAUCCGGCCUGCAUUUGCUAGUUUGUAAGGUAAAGGCUUACCAAGGCAACGAUUCAUAGCCGACCUGGGGGGGUUGACGGCCAAACUUGAACUGAGGCACGGUCCAGACUCCUACGGGAAGGAGGAGGAGGGAAUCUUCCGGAAUGGGCCGAAGGCUUACGGGGCAACGCCGCGGGAGUGAUGAAAGUCUUCGGAUCGUAAAACUCUGGUUGUAGGGAAGGACAUAUGUGUAAGGAACUGUGCACAGCUUGACGGUACCUAAUCAAAAAGGCACGGCUAACUACGUG
rnacentral:rRNA from 1 species